AGUGAACGCUGGCGGUAGGCCUAACACAUGCAAGUCGAACGGCAGCACAGUAAGAGCUUGCUCUUACGGGUGUCGAGUGGCGGACGGGUGAGGAAUACAUCGGAAUCUACUUUUUCGUGGGGGAUAACGUAGGGAAACUUACGCUAAUACCGCAUACGACCUACGGGUGAAAGCAGGGGAUCUUCGGACCUUGCGCGAUUGAAUGAGCCGAUGUCGGAUUAGCUAGUUGGCGGGGUAAAGGCCCACCAAGGCGACGAUCCGUAGCUGGUCUGAGAGGAUGAUCAGCCACACUGGAACUGAGACACGGUCCAGACUCCUACGGGAGGCAGCAGUGGGGAAUAUUGGACAAUGGGCGCAAGCCUGAUCCAGCCAUACCGCGUGGGUGAAGAAGGCCUUCGGGUUGUAAAGCCCUUUUGUUGGGAAAGAAAAGCAGCAGGUUAAUACCCCGCUGUUCUGACGGUACCCAAAGAAUAAGCACCGGCUAACUUCGUG
rnacentral:rRNA from 1 species